rnacentral:rRNA from 1 species
CCCUUAGAUGUUCGGGGCCGCACGCGCGCUACACUGAUGGGGUCAGCGUGUUUGCACGUCCUGGUCCGGCAGGAUUGGGCAAUCCGUUGAACCUCCGUCGUGAUUGGGAUCGGAGCUUGUAAUUAUUCUCCGUGAACGAGGAAUUCCCAGUAAGCGCAAGUCAUCAGCUUGCGUUGAUUACGUCCCUGCCCUUUGUACACACCGCCCGUCGCUACUACCGAUUGAACGGUUUAGUGAGGGCCUCGGAUUGGUCUCGGCCCGCUCUUUACCGGGCGGCGCCGUUGGUCGAGAAGACGCUCGAACUUGAUCGUUUAGAGGAAGUAAAAGUCGUAACA